rnacentral:tRNA from 1 species
GGGGUUGUGGCUCAGUGGUGGAGCGCUUGCCUAGCAUGCAUGAGGCACUGGGUUUGAUCCUCAAUACCA